AACGCGAAGAACCUUACCUGGCCUUGACAUGCUUUGGACCGACGCUGAAAGGCGUCUUUCCCGCAAGGGACCGGAGCACAGGUGCUGCAUGGCUGUCGUCAGCUCGUGUCGUGAGAUGUUGCGUUAAGUCGCGCAACGAGCGCAACCCCUGUCCUUAGUUGCCAUCAUUCAGUUGGGCACUCUAGGGAGACAAACCCUCUUUGAGGGUGGGAAGGUGGGGAUGACGUCAAGUCAGGAUGGCCCUUACGGCCAGGGCUGCACACGUACUACAAUGCCCAGUACAGAGGGAAGCAAGACCGCGAGGUGGAGCAAAUCCUCAAAACUGGGCCCAGUUCAGAUUGUAGUCUGCAACUCGACUACAUGAAGUUGGAAUCGCUAGUAAUGGCGUAUCAGCUACGGCGCCGUGAAUACGUUCCCGGGCCUUGUACACACCGUGUCGA
rnacentral:rRNA from 1 species